rnacentral:rRNA from 1 species
UUGACCUCAAAUCAGGCGGGACUACCCGCUGAACUUAAGCAUAUCAAUAAGCGGAGGAAAAGAAACUAACAAGGAUUCCCCUAGUAACUGCGAGUGAAGCGGGAAAAGCUCAAAUUUAAAAUCUGGCGGCCACGCCGUCCGAGUUGUAAUUUAGAGAAGCGUCUUCCGCGCCGGACCGUGUACAAGUCUCCUGGAACGGAGCGUCACAGAGGGUGAGAAUCCCGUCUUUGACACGGACGACCGGUGCUUUGUGAUGCGCUCUCGAAGAGUCGAGUUGUUUGGGAAUGCAGCUCAAAAUGGGUGGUGAACUCCAUCUAAAGCUAAAUAUUGGCGAGAGACCGAUAGCGAACAAGUACCGUGAGGGAAAGAUGAAAAGCACUUUGGAAAGAGAGUGAAACAGUACGUGAAAUUGCUGAAAGGGAAACGCUUGAAGUCAGUCGCGUCCGCCGGGAUUCAGCCUUUUGGUGUACUUUCCGGUGGACGGGCCAGCAUCACUUUUGGCCGUCAGAAAAAGGCGGAGGGAACGUGGCACCUUCGGGUGUGUUAUAGCCCUCCGUCAUAUACGGCGACCGGGAGUGAGGACCGCCUUUUGCAGGAUGCUGGCGUAAUGGCUUUAAACGACCCGUCUUGAAACACGGACCAAGGAGUCUAACAUGCUCGCGAGUGUUCGGGUGUCGAAACCCGUGCGCGUAAUGAAAGUGAAAGUUGGGAAGGCUGUCGUGGCCCGCACCGACGCCCGGACCUGAGAUUUAUCGACGGUUCUGCGGUAGAGCGCGUAUGUUGGG